ACCGACCAAAACGUGCCACAAAACCCACACCGCCAGCCAGCCCUCCUCCGCCGGCGGCCUCCGGCGCGGCGACCGGCCUCCGCUCCCACCCCUCCCACCCCACCGCCGCCCGCCGCCCGCCGCCCCUUCCCCGGUCGCCGUGCCCCGUCGGCACAGGCGCGCCUCUCGAGCCCGUCCCCUGCCCCGUGCCCUGGAGGCCCAAACCCUAGCCGGCGCGGCGGGCGGUCGGGGCCGAUGGACGACACCCUGGCCAACAUACGGAAGAAGCUGAAGCGGCUGAAGAAGGGCAAGGACGAGGAUGACGCCGUCGACGCCCCCGCGGUUCCCGACGGCGGCGAGGCCGUCGCCGUCGCCGUCGCCGCCGGGCCGGAAGAUCUGCAGGGCGGCGGAGACGUCGAGGACAUGGGCGAGGGCGUCGCCGACGAGGGCGGCGACCUGGAGGCCGCCGCGAAUGCGGUUCCUGGGGAGGAUGACGGCGUGAAAGGCCCCGGCGGCGAUCUAGGGUUGGGGGACUCCCUGUCGGUGCUCUUCAGGAAGCCUGGCCGCAAGCCUCGGCAGCAGGCCUCGAAGGAUGAGGAGGCAGAGGGCGUGGAGGCUGCCGAUUCGCAGGCAGAGGAGGCCCUCAAUGGCGGAUCUGGUGGCCUGGCUUCGGAUGAGACUGCCAAGGGCACCAAGAAGAGGCGGAGGCGGCGCACCAAGGCGGAGAUGGAGGAGAUGAGGGCUGCCGUCGCCGCAGAGAAUUAUGCCAAGGCAAUGGCAGGUGAUGGGUCUCCCAGGAGGUCAAAGGCGAAGCCAAAGGCUGCAUAUUCUGAUAGGCGCUCUAGGGCUGCCGCCCGUCGAGCCGUUGGAGAAUCGCCCGUUGGAGAAUUGCCUAUUGGAGAAUUGGCGGCACCCGGGCCUCCCCCUGAUUUGGAAAGGAAGCCCGAUGAGAAAGAAGAGGCUGUGGAUAAAGAAGAGGCUGCGGAUGAUGGUUUAUCGCUGGGAGAGACGCUUCUUCAAGACAUGGAAACCAGUAGAAUUGUGGAGGAUGGAUCUAGAAACUCUUCUGAUGGGGCAAGCCAUUGUGUCGAAGUUCCAGCAAGGGCUGAUAACUGCAUUGCCUUAAAUCCUUGUUCAGGAGGAGAACCUGCUGAAAAAGCAUCUCACAGUGCAGCAAAUGCAUCCGCUGAUGGUGUUUCUGAUGCACAGACAUGCUCCGAAACCUUAGCAGAGGAUAUAAAUGCUGAUGCAGGUUUUUCUCAAGAUAAGCCACCUGCACCAACCAUCAAAAGGAAACCUGGUCGAAAACCAAAAGAAGCGCCCAAGAAACCUGUUAGAAGGAAGGAGUUGCCUUCGGUUAGUGCUGAUGCUAAACCAGUUGAGAUAGCAGAAAGUGAUGCGUCGUCGAAGCAGCGGCGGCGCAAAAAUAAAUUUCUCUUGGCAAGGUCUACAACUGUGCAGUCUAAUUCCUCGCUGGACAAUAAAGCAGGUAGUACAGGCGACGUUAAAUAUGGCAAUAUCAAACCAAAUGCAGCUGUGCCAACAGAAGAAAGCUUAGAUCAGCCAGCUGCUUAUGGGGUUCGUGGGUCACGUGCCGCCAAGGAUUCACGUGCCUCUCAUAACAUGGCAGCAUCUGCUAAAGAAAUCGAUAUCACUGACGUGGCAGCACCAUCCAAUUUUGAGGACAUGGAGAAUACAUCAAAGGUGAAACGCCUAGCACGGAAUACUAGGAAACGUAAACAUGGUGACAUGGCAUACGAGGGAGAUGAUGAUUGGGAAACUCUGAUGCAUGAGCAGGGGCUGUUCUCAAACCCCUCAGCAGGUUUUGCAGAUCAAUCUGUCAAACCAAAAGAUAAAAUUAAAGCGUUGGAAGUUCUUGAGAACCGAGGUGUUGCUGCUGUAAGUGCUGGCCUAAUGGCGGAGGCUGUUUCUCCAAUGGAAAAGAUAAAAUUCAAGGAUGUCCUGAAGCGGAAGGGUGGCCUUAAGGACUACCUGGAGUGCAGGAACAUGAUCCUAAGUUUCUGGAACAAGGAUGUUAAACAUCUAUUGGAUCUUGCCGAUUGUGGUCUUUCUAAUGCUCCCAUGGAAGAUGAUUCACCACGUCAAACACUUAUACGUGACGUGUACUGUUUCUUAGAUCAGAAUGGUUACAUAAAUGCUGGAAUCGCAUCAGCCAAGGCGACAAAGGCUCAUGAAACUCUUUGUUCUGAGGUUGUGGAAGUAGCCAAGUUAAAUGAAUUACCUAAAAUGGAUACAGUCAUGGUUGAAGGUGACAUUGUUGCGGCAUCUCUCCAGAAUAAAGAUCAUGAUUAUGGUGCUUUGGGACCUUUGACAGAAGAAUCGAAGGAAAAUAAUGUCCCUGACGCUCACUGCGAUGCCCAAGAAUUGAUACCUCACUUACAGUCCAAAGAACAGGCAUUUGAAGAAAAGAAUCUAGAUGUAUCAACUGAAGGCGGAGAUGCAUUACUACCACCGAUCAAUAUUACUUCAGUUGGAAACACUGAAGGCCCCAGCCUUGAUAAACCAGAAGCAGCUGUUAUCAAACAUCCUAGAAACAACUGUGAGGUAAAUCAUAAAGUUGAAUCUGGAGGGCAUGGCAAAAAGAUAAUCAUUGUGGGAGCUGGUCCGGCCGGUUUAACUGCAGCACGCCAUUUGCAGCGUCAAGGUUUUGCUGUCACUGUUCUUGAAGCGCGUGAUAGGAUUGGUGGUCGUGUUUAUACAGAUCGUACAUCGCUUUCAGUUCCUGUGGAUUUGGGUGCUAGCAUUAUUACAGGUGUGGAAGCUGAUAUAGCAACUGAACGAAGGGCUGAUCCAUCCUCUUUGAUUUGUUCUCAGCUUGGUCUUGAACUGACUGUACUGAAAAGUGCUUGCCCUCUCUAUGAUGUAGUAACUGGCAACAAGGUUCCCGAUGAAUUGGAUGAUGAGUUGGAAUCUGAAUACAACGGCCUUCUUGAUGAAAUGGAACAACUUUUUGAACAAAAUGGUGAAAGUGCACUGGGUUUAUCCCUUGAGGAUGGGUUGGAAUACACUCUUAGGAAGAAACGUGCAGCCCAUGCUAUUUCUUCUGUGGGACACGAUGAUCAGUUAAUAAGUAUGAACAGUAGAGGAGGUGCAGACAUUUCCAAAAAUGCUUCAACAGAAAAGGAGAUGGCUCAUUGUGGGGAGGAUGGUAAGAUAGAUGUUCUCAGCCCUCUUGAAAGAAGAGUUAUGAACUGGCACUUUGCACAUUUAGAGUAUGGUUGUGCUGCAAUGCUCAAAUCUGUCUCUCUUCCAUACUGGAACCAAGAUGAUGUGUAUGGAGGGUUUGGAGGACCUCAUUGCAUGAUUAAAGGUGGUUAUGGCGCUGUUCUUCAGAGCCUUGCAGAAGGACUUGAUGUUCAGUUAAAUCAUGUUGUAACUGAAGUAACGUACAGGUCUGAUGAGUCAGAUGCUAGUGGCAUUAGUGGGAAAACUGUUAAAGUUUCCACUUCGAAUGGAGCUGAAUUUGAGGGAGAUUCUGUGUUGAUCACUGUUCCUCUUGGAUGCUUGAAAGCACACACAAUCAAAUUUUCUCCUUCCUUGCCGGACUGGAAAACAUCUUCCAUUGACAGGCUUGGAUUUGGUGUUCUAAAUAAAAUAGUAUUGGAGUUUUCUGAGGUCUUUUGGGAUGAAAAUGUGGAUUAUUUUGGUGCAACUGCGGAACAAACAGAUUUAAGGGGACAAUGCUUUAUGUUUUGGAAUCUCAAGAAGACAGUCGGCGCACCAGUUAUAAUAGCUCUACUUGUUGGGAAGGCUGCUAUAGAUGGACAGGGUAUCAGUUCUGAUGCUCAUGUUAGCCAUGCUAUGGUGGUUCUCCGCAAGCUCUUUACGGAUGCUGCUGUACCAGAUCCAGUGGCGUCAGUUGUCACAAACUGGGGCCUUGAUCCUUUUAGUAGAGGUGCUUACUCUUAUGUUGCAGUAGGAGCAUCAGGGCAAGAUUAUGACAUCAUAGGACGGCCAGUUGCAAACUGUUUAUUUUUUGCUGGGGAAGCAACAUGCAAAGAGCACCCAGAUACUGUUGGUGGUGCAAUUUUAAGUGGUCUUCGAGAAGCAGUUCGGAUUAUUGACUUGGUACACAGUGGUAAGGAUUAUGUGGCUGAGGUGGAAGCUCUACAAACAUACCAAGUGCAGUCAGAUAGGGAAAGAAAUGAAGUCAGAGACAUGUCAAAUAGACUUGAAGCACGUGAACUGUCAACUGCUCUAUGCAAAAACUCAUCUGAUGCAUCAUAUGCAGUAGCUAGCAAGGAAUCUGUACUGCAAGAAAUGUUUUUCAGUGCGAACACUACACCAGGGCGCCUACAUUUGGCCAAGGAGCUACUGAAACUCCUUCCAGAUGCUCUUAAAUCAUUCGCUGGCUCUAAAGAAGGGUUAACUAAACUGAACUCUUGGAUACUUGAUUCACUGGGAAAAAAUGCAACUCAACUGUUGCGGCAUUGUGUACGCUUGCUUUUGCUUGUUUCGACCGAUCUGGUAGCUGUUCGCUUGUCUGGAAUUGGGAGGACUGUAAAGGAAAAGGUCUGUGUGCAUACUAGUCGAGAUAUUCGUGCCAUAGCUCGCCAGUUGGUCAGUAUGUGGAUAGAAGUUUUCCGUAAAGAAAAGGCUAGCAACGGUGCUCUCAAAAUGCUGCGCCGAUUGCCAUCAGUUGAAUCGAGCAAGACAAAGAGCAAGGAUCUACAUUCAGGAAUGCGUACUUCGCAUGUGACAAAUGAAGCAGGUGUACAGCGUGUAAGAUCUGCUGGGAGCCAUUCACCUCACAGAACUGGCAAGAAGCCUGACAAGGUUGUGAAAUUAUCUACUAUAAUGGCUACAAAGUCUGAUGGCAGCUCGCUUCGUUCCCAGAAGCAACACCAUGAUCCAGAACCCAAAACGGAUCAAGGCAUGGUUAUGUCUGAGGAAGAAGCUGCUGUAUUUGCUGCUGCGGAGGCUGCUCGAGUUGCUGCCGUAGCAGCUGCACAGGCAUAUGCAUCCGCAGAGGCAGUGAUAAGUAAGCCUCGGGAACUCCCAAAGAUCCCAUCAUUUGGAGAUUUUGCAAGGCGUGAUCACCAUUUGGACGAAUCUGAUACAAGAAAGAAAAUGACAAGUGACAAGCAUGGGAGACUUGAAUGCAUAUCAGAGAUUGAUUCCAGGAAUGGCAAAACUAAGAACUCAUCAGCUGAGCACGCCAAUUGUCCUGAUGUUGACAGCUCGAAAAUGACUGUUGAUAACUGUACCCAGAGGAGCUAUUCAAACGAGAAAGCCUGCCUAAUUAAUAUUAAGGACAAUUCUGCAGAGAGUGGAGCUGUAGAAAGUCGGUUUACUAGGGCAUGGGUUGAUACUGAUGCAGUCUCCAUUGAUGGUGUCAAACAUCCUCUAGCCAUUGAGAGGUGGCAAGCACAAGCAAUGGAAGCAGAUAAAGAAUUCUACAGUCGGAUACACAUACCCAUGGAAGAAGAUUCAGGUAGCCAAAAGCAGGCAUGCAAAAGUUCUGCCUCGCAGGUUGCAGAAAGCAAACCUGCAUCAGAAGGACAAUCCCGAGGUGUAGAACAUAUAAAACAGGGGCUUAUAGCUUUCAUUAGCACACUACUGAUGCCACUGUACAAAAGUAAAAAGAUCGACAGGGAGGCAUACAAGACAAUGAUGCGGAAAGCUGUCACAAAGAUCAUUGAUGCAUGCACCGAAGGAGAGAAGCUGAUGACUGCCAAUGAAUUUCUUGAUUUUAGAAGGAAAACUAAGAUUCAAACAUUUGUGGAUAAGCUGGUCGAGAGGCAUUGGCAUGUGGCUCCAGCCCCCAAAUCAUAGCAUGUACAUAUCUAGGAAGCUGUUACAUGUGGAGAAGCAAAUGUCACCUUGCAGACUAUGCUGUCACUCAGCAGGCAUUGGCUCCAUGGGACCUAAAAGAAGCAGACAUUGUUGAUAUCACCUCCAUCAUCAUCAUCAUCAUCGUUCAUAGAUUGGCACAUUCAUCCUUGUAUUGAAGUUGAUAUCACCUCCAUCAUCAUCAUCAUCAUCGUUGCAAUGGCUUCCUAGACCUCUGUGCACUCAGACAAACAUGGCUGCGUAUGCAGUGAACUUGUGUGAUGAGUUGAAACUCCAUGGCUUGUACCGAAGUGGCAUAUGAAGAUCUGGGAUGAAUUCAAGCAUUCUGCAUGGUCUCAACAUGCAAGGGUGGCUCGAAUGUAUCCCUGGACAGUAGUUUUAGGUCAGCGUAGCAGAACCCAUGUUGUUGUUUGUUCAGAGAAAACUGACACCAGACUAGACCCCAUCUUUUCUCCCUUUGUUGUACAGACCAUAGCUCCAUAUCCUGUUCCUAGCAAUCACCUAACUCAUAGUCGGUCGUGUUAAAGUCGUCGCAGUUUGGCGGAGAUGGUUGGCAUCUGCAGGAUAAUACUUUGGAACCGGCGACCUCUGGUCUCGGUGUUAUUGCACGAAACCUGUGCUGCUCCCUGGCUGUAGCAGGGGUGUCGAGUUAAGAGAUGGCUUCACCUCGUUGGUCUAUCUUUUUAGUGUUGUUUCGCAGCUUUGAGUUUUCUCUGUAUUCUCACGUCAUGGCAGAGUUGGUAUCAUGCUCAGAUAUGUUUUUUUCCGUCCCAUUAUUAUGUUUUUGCCUAUUUCCAUGCUUCAGUUACUUCCAUGUCAUUCCUGCCUUUUGUAUAUUUACACGUGUCACUUAUUUCCAUGUCAUACUUGCCUUUUUGUACAUGUAAUUAAUGCUUUAAUUAUCUCUUGUCUCGGUGUCAUUGCAUGAAACCUGUGCUGCUUGCUCCCUGGCCACAGCUGGGGCGUUGAGUUAAGAUAAAUGGCUUUACCUCGUUGGCCUAUCUUUUUGCGUUGUUCACAGCUUUGAUUUUUCUCUGUAUUUUCACGUCAUGGCAGAGUGGGUAUUCAUGUUCAGCUAUGUUUUACUUUACUUUUCUUUUCUCUUCUUUCUAUUGUUAUGUUUUUGUGUAUUUCCAUGCUUCAGUUACUUCCAUGUCAUACCUGCCUUUUUUGUCCAUAUCCAUGCGGCACCUAUUUUUACAUGUCAUGCUUGCCUUUUGUAUAUAUACAUCUAAUUAAUGCUUUUAAUUAUCUACCAUUCUUUCCUGCAUAACUUUACUCCUACUCUGGCAAUGCCUAUGCAGGACAAUAUAUUUUGCUGGUUCCAGCGCGCCAUCACAUGAAACUUGGUGCUGCUGCUUCCUGGCUGCCUGUAGCACGGGCAUGCAGCAAUAAGAGAUAGCUUCACUUUGCUGGCCUAUUUUUGUGUCCCCUCCGAUGGAGAUGCCAGAUCAUCAAGGAAUUCAGGUGAUAGUACGCUGUCUUCUGCUGUGAUGAUCCAUAUCCAUAUCAGGACGGUUCCAGGCCGGCGAAAACCCCGCCCCAAGACCUUGGAUGAACGAUCCGGCUGGAUGAGCCGCUGGAUGCUGGGACGGACGGAGGCGAUGGAGCUGGGCAUAGCGUUGUCCAUGGCAGGAGGAGCCUACCUGGAGCACACGCCCUGCCUUGGUGGAAAUGUAAAUGAGGCCUCGGAUCCCUCCGUAAAGAAAUAUAAGAGCGUUUAGAUCACUAAAGUAGUGAUUCGAAUUUCUGUACGCAUCUUCUUGUUGGUGCCUUUAAGUUUUACCCGCAUGUAAACCGGACUUUUAUGGGAAAAAUUACCGAGUUUUGCGGUAUGUUUGAAAAAAAAUAGGGUGCUUGUUUAGCCCUGAAGAGAUUGCUCUUUGUUGUGGUAAAAGAACUGCACGAACAGAAAAGGACAUGAUUUUACGUUUAACCAGUUUUGUGCUGCUGUA